AUUUGAAUGAAGAUUUGACUGUGUCCCUGAGGUUAUUCCAUAAUUGUGGUGCUCUGUGGGAAAAGGAGGAUCGAGCCACUUUAUUUUUGUAUUGCGGUAUGCUAAAUAUCGUGCUAGUACUGGUUCGGAGGUUAUAGGAGGUGGGAACAGCCGGGGAGAGCAUUCUACUCAGGUAGGGUGGGAGCUUCCCAGAAAAGCUCUUAUGCACAAGGCUGGAAAGAUGAAGAUUAGC